rnacentral:rRNA from 1 species
AGAGUUUGAUCAUGGCUCAGAGCGAACGCUGGCGGCAGGCCUAACACAUGCAAGUCGAGCGCCCCUCCUUCAAGCGAGCUUGGAGGAUUGCGGAGCGGUCUCCUUGGGCGGGCGAAAGCUCGCUUGACGGACAUCGCUGUGAGUUCAAGCGAGCCUUUAGGGGCUCGCUUGAUGGAGGGGAGCGGCAGACGGGAGAGUAACACGUGGGAACGUACCCUUUGGUUCGGAACAACCCAGGGAAACUUGGGCUAAUACCGAAUAAGCCCUUACGGGGAAAGAUUUAUCGCCGAAGGAUCGGCCCGCGUCUGAUUAGCUAGUUGGUGAGGUAACGGCUCACCAAGGCGACGAUCAGUAGCUGGUCUGAGAGGAUGAUCAGCCUCACUGGGACUGAGACACGGCCCAGACUCCUACGGGAGGCAGCAGUGGGGAAUAUUGGACAAUGGGCGCAAGCCUGAUCCAGCCAUGCCGCGUGGGUGAUGAAGGCCCUAGGGUUGUAAAGCCCUUUCGGCGGGGAAGAUAAUGACGGUACCCGCAGAAGAAGCCCGGCUAACUUCGUGCCAGCAGCCGCGGUA